CAUAGCCAAGAACCCAUAUUUCCCAAUACUGAGACGUUUCUGAGGAUCUCCGGUGGAAUAGCCAGUGAAAUAGAAAUAACGAGUGAUGAUAUAGAGGCAUCCAAGAGAAGCGCAGACACAGGGAUGCCUAAACCCUCCUAACAUCAUCAACACAAAGAACAUAGGCAUCAUCUCUAGCGAGUUCUGGUGCCCUCUCUGGACACAGUUGAAGAGCUUAGCAUCUUUGUUUUCAGAUUCUAAAGCAUAAAGGGUAGGAUAAGGAACCUUGUACAUCUUGCGGGCCUUGCCUACCUGACCAGCCAUCCAGAAAUUGAGGAAGCAAUACGCUACAAGAACCAGAGCCACAUAUCCAUACUCUUUUGGCAGCUCCAUUUCCACUCUGGCCAGCUUUUCUCUGCAAACUUGCACAAUAACCCACUUCUUCUGCUCUCUUUCUAUUAACCAGAAACCAGAAGAUUCGAGGAUUAUGACUCUUGACUAGGUCAUUACUCCAAUUUUUUAAGAUCAAUUUCUAGCUGUUUCACAACGAACACGCAUGCAGAGCCCAUAGAUAAGCUAAAAUUUAAU
rnacentral:misc_RNA from 1 species